rnacentral:rRNA from 1 species
AUUGAACGCUGGCGGCAGGCCUAACACAUGCAAGUCGAACGAGUGGCGGACGGGUGAGUAAUGUCUGGGAAACUGCCAGAUGGAGGGGGAUAACUACUGGAAACGGUAGCUAAUACCGCAUACCAUCGGAUGUGCCCAGGUGGGAUUGGCUAGUAGGUGGGGUAAAGGCUCACCUAGGCGACGAUCCCUAGCUGGUCUGGGAGGAGGAACGCCCACACUGGAACUGAGACACGGUCCAGCCUCCUACGGGAGGCAGCAGUGGGGAAUAUUGCACAAUGGGCGCAAGCCUGAUGCAGCCAUGCCGCGUGGAUGAAGAAGGCCUUCGGGUUGUAAAGCACUUUCAGCGGGGAGGCGUUACCCGCAGAAGAAGCACCGGCUAACUCCGUGCCAGCAGCCGCGGUAAUAC